UUUGGUGAUGAUGGCGGAAGGGAACCACGCGUACCCAUCCCGAACACGACCGUUAAGCCUUCCAGCGCCGAUGGUACUUGGACCGCAGGGUCCUGGGAGAGUAGGACAUCGCCAAGC
rnacentral:rRNA from 1 species